UACAGAGGGUGCGAGCGUUAAUCGGAUUUACUGGGCGUAAAGCGUGCGUAGGCGGCUAUUUAAGUCGGAUGUGAAAGCCCUGGGCUUAACCUGGGAACUGCAUUCGAUACUGGGUAGCUGGAGAUCGGUAGAGGGCGGCGGAAUUCCGGGUGUAGCGGUGAAAUGCGUAGAUAUCCGGAGGAACACCGAUGGCGAAGGCAACCGCCUGGGCCUGAUCUGACGCUGAGGCACGAAAGCGUGGGGAGCAAACAGGAUUAGAUACCCCUGUAGU
rnacentral:rRNA from 1 species